rnacentral:lncRNA from 12 species
CCUCAUUUUAUUACCUUCCCUCCUCCCACUUCCAAGGUUACGUGUGUCGUCAGAAUGACAAGAAAAUCCUGCAGGGUCUUUAAAGCUUUUGGGAGCCCAGAGCAUUUACGUGGGAGUUGGUGAGAAUGUGGGGCCCUGACAAGUGAGGCCUUGCUCUUUUCCAGCUAUGCAUCAGAAGUUUGGAUCCUGAUCCCGAGAACUGAGGACUGCAAGUAGGGCAGGUCUGCAUGCGGAGGGGGAGCUCCAAGCAGGGACACAAAGGAAGCCAUGAAAAAUGCGUCAGGACCUGGCUGAUGAGGGGCGCUGACAGGAAACAAGUGUUUAUUGAGAACAGGGCUGGAGAAGUUGAAGAGAGAAUGACAUAUUCAUUGCCUAUGGAGAUCAUCAAAGAAGGGAAGAAAAUGCUCAGAGAGGUCCAAGAGACCAUGAGAAGUCAUCUAGGGAUUAAGUACAGGGAAGGAAAACAUCAAUUAAGUACGUAUAGGAAAAAAGUUCCUGCAUAUAGGAGCCAUCAAUCUGAGAAACAGAAUCUCCAAGGAAGAGGUGAGAAAGCCGAUACUUAAAACGUUAAAACUCAACCAGUCAUAACAGUGGGGGUAAGGGAUCAUUCUGUUCUUCUUCUGAAGCAUAAGGUGGACUAAUAAUGCAAAAAUG